UUGCACACUCAAACAAAGACUGUCUCACUCUCCUAGUUCCAACUCAAAAGUUUCCAGGGAAGUCCUCUGAUUGCCUCAGCUUGGAUCAGAGCCCCACCUCUGAAACAACUUAUGAAGGCUAUAAAAACAGGUUAGGGCUCUACAGCAAUAUGAAAAUUCCUGGGAAAAAUGUGACAAUGCCAGGGGAGGUGACCAUUCAUUCCAAGAAAAAGGGAGAACACGUAUUCUUUUCUCUGAUGACAUUCGAGGCCCGGCGGCACAUGCUUCAGUUUGCAGCUCCCCAGCUCUCAGGAAACCCGUGGAAACUGCAAUGUCUCACCUGCACCCUGCCACCGGGAUGAGGAACUCAGACCCAGAAGAACCAAGUGACUUGCCAAAAGUCCUUCGGCUGUUUCAGCAAGAGCAAGAACUAGGGUUCCCAGUGCAGUUUUCUUUACACUCCAAUUUAGUAGAAGCAUGAGCCACAUGGGGACAUUUUGGCUCCUGAUAGACCACAGACAAAACAGUGGUCCCCUAAGAUUAUAAUGGAACUUCCCUAUAUAGGUGUACUAAUUUUUACCUUUUACACCGUAUUUUUACUGUAUCUUUAUUUAUUUAGUUAGUUAGUUAGUUAGUUUUUGAGACAGAUUUUUGCUCUUAUUGCCCAGGCUGGAGUGCAAUGGCGUGAUCUCGGCUCACUGCAACCUCUGCCUCCCAGGUUCAAGCGAUUCUCCUGCUUCAGCCUCCCGAGUAGCUGGGUUUACAGGCACCCACCACCACACCCAGCUAAUUUUUUGUAUUUUCAGUAGAGACGGGUUUUCACCAUGUUGGCCAGGCUUGUCUCAAACCCCUGACCUCAGGUGAUCCACCCACCCAGCCUCCCAAAGUGCUGGGACUACAGGCAUGAGCCACCGUGCAUGGCCUACUGUAUCUUUUAUAUGUUUAGAUAUAUCUAGAUGCAAAAAUACCAAUGUGUUACAAUUGCCUGCGGUAUUCAGUACAGUACAUGCCGUACAGGUUUGUUGCCUAAGAGCAGUAGGCUACACCAUAUAGCCUAGGACUGCAAUGGGCUGCUGCAUCCAGGCUUAAGUAAGUACACUCCGUGAUGUUUGCACAAUGACAAAAUGGCCUAACAACACAUUUCUCAGAAGGUAUCCCCUUCUUUAAGUAACACAUGACUACACAGUGUUCAGUCAAAGAAAGGGCAGAUCUAAUAACUUGAAUUUAAAAUCUUCAUCCCCAAGCCAGCCUCAUAAGAAGGCUGCCACUCAGGAGCUGAUGUGGUGGGGUGAACAGAGAAUCAGAUACACAUUGAGGAAUCCUAAUGCCAGUCCAUUCUGGCUAGUGGUAGAUGAUGCAAUGGGGGUAAGUCAUAAAACCUCUCUGAAUGUCAUUUUCCUCAGCAGAAAAUUGCUGUAAAGUCACCCACCACAACCGCUUCAUAGGGUGUUAUGCUGCUACAACAGGUCAAUAUGUAGAAAAAUGUGGAAAUUAUGAUGUUUGCAGAUGUUAGGGAAAAGUAGGGAUCCGUACACUGUUUCUGAGGGGCCAGAUAAUAAAAUGUUAGGUUUUCAGGCCAAAUACAGUCUCUAUUGCAGCUGUGCAAGCCUGUUGUUGUAGCACAAAAGUAGCAAAAGACAAUCCCUAAAUGAACGAAUGUGGCUGUUUCAAUAAAACUUUAUGGAUAAAACAGGCAGCAGAUUAAAUGUAGCCUGUGGGCCAUAGGUUGCUCACCCCUGGGAUAAAGCCACUCACUUUGCUUAGUGCUUGUUCACUGGAAAAGCCUCCCUGCCUCCUCUACCAUCUCCCUUCCCUAAACUCAGGGCUGAUGACUCAGCCCAAGCCUUAUUUUUGGCGCAUCAGCUUUUUAAAGCAAAACACAGCUCACUGGAGGGGUUUAAGACACAUAGUCAUCUGCACCAGUAGGAAAAAAAAGCUAAAAGCACAUUUAUAGCCACAGUCACAGCCGUCCUUCUCCAUGGAUAUGUUCAAGUCUGCAUUUAGACACACAGCUGCAGACAUAAAGUAAUAUAGAAAAAGGAACGGAGCUGUGGAUUUCAUUGAGGCUGAAACAGAGGACUAGAUAGAGGUAUAAAAAACAACAUUUUUACUUCCAAGCCCUAACUUUUGAAAGCACAUUCACAUUUAUUUUCACUUAUCGUGAUGAGAUGAUGAGGGAGUUUUGACAGAUUUGAGAGGAAGCAGGUACCUUACCUGCUGUCAGGAAUCCGGCUGGUGGCAGAGCCCAGGCUCAAACAAGCCCAGGUGCUCAUCUUUAUGAACCCAUCUGAGCACUCUUUUCUCAGCCCAAGAACAGGCACAGCCCUGAGCCCUGGGCUUGGCCACAGUGUGGCCUUUUGCAGUGGUUAUGCUCCUUACCGACUCCUUGCCACAGUAUCAUAAAGUCAGUCUUCUUUGAGGAUAUCACAUUAUCCUCCCCUUGAUUAAAAUGAUGUCUGUUCCCUCAAAACAAAGAGUAUUUUCAGCCAGGUGCUGUGGCUCAUGCCUGUAAUCCCAGCACUUUGGGAGGCUGAGGCGGGCAGAUCACUUAAGGCCAGGAGUUGGAGACCAACCUGGCCAACAUGGCAAAAUCCUGUCUCUACUAAAAAUACAAAAUAAUUAGCCAGGUGCAGUGGUGCACACCUGUAGUCCCAGCUACUCAGGAGGCUGAUUCAGGAGAAUCGCUUGAACCUUGGAGGCAGAGGUUACAGUGAGCCAAGAUCAAACCACUGCACUCCAGCCUGGGUGAGAGAGAAAGACACUGUCUCAAAUAAUAAUAAUAAUAAUAAUUUCGAAAACAGAAAACCCAGUAUGUUCAAUACUCUGGGAUCAGUGAAAGACUACAUCAAGUAAUCUUCAAAAAGUGCUGAAAUUGGACAGUGCUGGCUUGAUCAUUUCUUGGACUGUGGAUAGGUUAAUCAUCUCUGAGUGAGCUAGAAUUCAAGACGUUCCUCAGGCAAAAAGCAGGACGUUAGAUGAGUCUUUGAUGCCAUUGAAAUCUAUGGUAGCAAAGGAUCACCAGCCUUGAAACAGAAGAGGACAGCAUCUGCAGCAGGCUUUGGCAGAAGAAACACAGCCUGAAUGCUGACCGUAUCUUAGAAGAGUGAAGAAGUUUUGCGGUGGGGUUGGUGCGACUAAGCCAAGAACCUGUUGAAGAUGUCAUAGGUCACCACACAGAGCACCGGAAAUGCCGAUUGCACUUUGAGGGCUGAACCACACAACCCACCUGUGGGAAAAGAAAUUGCUUGGAAGGCAAGUGCAGGAUGGUCUCGGACCCAGGUAAAAAGCACGGGGCCACCUAAAACUGAGGUCUUGCCACAGGCAGCCAGAUGUUGAGGGACCACCUUGGCAGUCAAACAAAAGUAAAGAUCGGAAAGGUUCUCAAAAGCGCCAAGACGUGCAGCUGCAAUGCUAACAUAACAUCCACUCUAUAGUAAGCUAUAUCCAGCUGAUACCAGCCUGAGUCGAAGUCUGAACUGGGAAGUAUGGAAAAGGGAGGACAGGCUGAGCCCAAUUUCGAUUAGCCUGUGGAAAAUACACAUUUGUGGGAAUAAACUGAAUUUGAAUACAAAGUUUGUC
rnacentral:lncRNA from 1 species